ensembl:lncRNA
GCAUUAUUAACAAAGCCACAUAAGAAACACAGCAUUUUUGCCACAUGUAUCCAUAAAUGUAAUCAGAACUGUGAACAUUCAACAUUGCUAAAGAUUAACAUAGUGAGAGUUUAUUGGAAGGAGACGUUUAUGGAAGGAGUGUUCAGUGUCAGUGCUUUGUAGCACUCAGUGGUGAAACUGUAACUUGUUAAAAGUACUGAUCCCAGUUUGAUGUUUCUGUUCAGAAGAUGAGAAAGGAGGCAGAUUCUGGGAGUGAUAAAGACUUCCUGAGGCGGGGGGGGGGGGGGUGUUCUGUCACAGAUUCAUCCAGCAUACCGUCAACACCAGGUCCUUCAGCUCCACUUACCUGUUCACAAUCACCUGAGUACUAACCUGCCACACCUGUAUCACCCUAAUCAUGAACUAUUCAUAAGCACACUGAUAUCACAUACUUGUUAUCUGGUCUCAUCAGGCUCUAUGUGAGUAGCUACCAUUCUGACUCCCUUCGUGGUUACCUCACGUACUAAGCGUUAUCCACCUCCUUUAUCUCUGCCGUCCGCCGUUACCCAGUUUUCUCCACGCUUCAUCCCGCAACAGAGCAAAGGACUUGUCAGUUAAGUGUGUUCUUCCAUUUUUCUUCCAACUGCUGGUGCCAUUCCCGCUCGGGAAGAUAGCUAUGAGGGACAUUCUAUGUUAUAUACUGUACACAAAUUCACACUGUACACUGAUAUUACAGAUCUUACUCACGCUCCCACUGUGCAUCACCGCGCUUUGUCAUUUGACAAUAAAGUACCAUGAGUGUAUGAAGAGAAGAAGUUCACAGAGGCGGUGAAGCUCCUGCUCUCCCUCAUGACAGCAAAGAUCUCUCCACACAGCUUCUGGAUGACUCUGCUCAUAGACUCUCUGCCCUUACUGGAGCAAAAAAAGGUACGCACACGCACUCUACACUUGCUUUAUACACUUGUUUUCUCUGCAGUUGAUGAUGAUGGGGUUGUGCACGUGUGCUGGGAAAAUACUGGGAAAGUCAAUCCUGGGUUUAAAGGGUGAACAGAAAACUGGAUCAGAUUAUUUUUUUAUGUGUGUAUGAGAGUCUUAUUCAAACUUUUACACAUGCUCAAUGUAUUUGAUAUAUAUAUUUUUUUAAAGAAAAUGUUUAAAAUAG